ensembl:snRNA U6 U6 spliceosomal RNA
GUGCUCACUUUGGCAGCACAUGUACUAAAAUUGGAACGAUACAGAGAAGAUUAGCAUAGCCCUUGCGCAAAGGAUGACACACAAAUUCGGGAAGCAUUCCAUAUUUAA